UACGAAGGGGGCUAGCGUUGCUCGGAAUCACUGGGCGUAAAACGCACGUAGGCGGAUCUUUAAGUCAGGGGUGAAAUCCUGGAGCUCAACUCCAGAACUGCCUUUGAUACUGGGGAUCUCGAGUCCGGGAGAGGUGAGUGGAACUGCGAGUGUAGAGGUGAAAUUCGUAGAUAUUCGCAAGAACACCAGUGGCGAAGGCGGCUCACUGGCCCGGUACUGACGCUGAGGUGCGAAAGCGAGGGG
rnacentral:rRNA from 1 species